rnacentral:rRNA from 1 species
UACGUAGGGUGCGAGCGUUGUCCGGAUUUAUUGGGCGUAAAGAGCUCGUAGGCGGUUUGUCGCGUCGGCCGUGAAAUCUCCACGCUUAACGUGGAGCGUGCGGUCGAUACGGGCAUGACUGGAGUUCGGCAGGGGAGACUGGAAUUCCUGGUGUAGCGGUGAAAUGCGCAGAUAUCAGGAGGAACACCGGUGGCGAAGGCGGGUCUCUGGGCCGAUACUGACGCUGAGGAGCGAAAGCGUGGGGAGCGAACAGG